CAUAACAAACAAUUAAACAUAACAUCAAGAUAAAUUUAAACAAAAACAAAGUAAAUAUCGGCACAUCACCAUCCAGUGGAAGCUUCAAAUCAAUAAUAAGUAAAUCCGGACUAUGGCUAUUAAUAAGAUUAUACAAGGACAGUUCAGUUUGAUUCCGUUGAAAAGCGUCGAAGUCAACGAAGAAAACACCGCCAUUGAGUUUCUACUCUUUCCAGUCGUCAACUGUUCCAUUGUUAUCAAGACUAUACAAAUUAACAACAUAGCACUAGGAACCUGGAAUCUCCAAGCCAGGAACCUGCCGAACCACGACACAAUCCGGGUGGAUGAUGUGAUAAAUAUUAUUCUGUUGAUGGCCGUCAACUCUUUGUGUUUGAACAACGUCAGCGAUAAUUUUGUAAUGUAGAUAAAUUCAUCAUCAUCCACAAAUUCCAUGCAUAUUGUUUUAGAGCUCCUACUGUAUUGAACGUCGUUGUAGGACUCUUUCCAAACCAAGUCAAUCUGUUUGGAAAAGCAAGUCGAUGAAGGAUUAUUGUGAUACAUCUUAGGUAUUAGUAUUUUGUGUUUGAAUGUAAAUGAGUCGUUGUACAUCGGGACUCGCUUGAUUCUAGUAUUGCAAUUGAUAUCUUCUUUCUUUUCUUCUUCGCUGGAUAAGAGAUUUCCAACAACUGCAGAAAAUAGAUGAGCUUAAUUUUUAAAGUUUCAUCACGAGUUCAUUUUUCAACAGUUGAAAAAACUUUUUUAUAAAAUAAAAAUUUUCAAAUUUUCAUUAUUGAAUUUAA
rnacentral:lncRNA from 1 species